rnacentral:tRNA from 1 species
GGAUAUAGCUCAGUGGUAGAGCAUGUGCUUAGCAUACACAGCAUACACGAGGUCCUGGGUUCAAUUCCCAGUACCUCCA